rnacentral:rRNA from 1 species
AUUGAACGCUGGCGGAAUGCCUAACACAUGCAAGUCGAGCGAGGUGUAGCAAUACAUCUAGCGGCGGACGGGUGAGAAACACAUAGGAAUCUACCUUUUAGUGGGGGAUAACCCGGGGAAACUCGGAUUAAUACCGCAUACGAUCUACGGAUGAAAGUGGGGACCGCAAGGCCUCACGCUGUUAGAUGAGCCUAUGUCCGAUUAGCUAGUUGGUAGGGUAAUGGCCACCAAGGCAACGAUCGGUAGCUGGUUUGAGAGAACGAUCAGCCACACUGGAACUGAGACACGGUCCAGACUCCUACGGGAGGCAGCAGUGGGGAAUAUUGGACAAUGGGCGCAAGCCUGAUCCAGCAAUUCCGCGUGGGUGAAGAAGGCCU